CAGGGGUUCCACCUCUUCCCAUUCCGAACAGAGAAGUUAAGCCCUGCCGCGCCGAUGGUACUGCAUAGAAGUGGGAGAGUAGGUCGCCGCCGAUU
rnacentral:rRNA from 1 species